rnacentral:misc_RNA from 1 species
AAGUCGUAACAAGGUAACCGUAGGUGAACCUGCGGUUGGAUCAUUACAAAAAAUAUAUACCUUAAAGGGGGGAUUCCCCCCGCUUUAUCGUAGCCACCAAGUGGAAGUUUGGCAAAGAAACCGUAGCAUUCUCAACAACCUUUAUUGGUUGGCGAACCUGAUACUUAUUUUAAUCAACUUCCACGGUGGCAUUAUUCAAAUCAGUGCCCAAGCAAAUGAGGAGAAAAAUAAAAACAACAUGUGAAACGUUUCUGUCUCUGGCGAGCGGGCAGUCUAAACAACUGCUUGUCAGCAGGGUCCCUUUCUGGGGGCUCCUGCCGUGGACAACUCGUCAACCCCUUCUAUUUAACUUUUGCUGUACCUAGUUUGUCUGACAUCACCUGUAUAAAUAUACAAAACAACUUUUGGCAACGGAUCUCUUGGCUCUC